rnacentral:rRNA from 1 species
AUUGAACGCUGGCGGCAUGCCUUACACAUGCAAGUCGAACGGUAACAGGCCGCAAGGUGCUGACGAGUGGCGAACGGGUGAGUAAUGUAUCGGAACGUGCCCAGUCGUGGGGGAUAACUGCUCGAAAGAGCAGCUAAUACCGCAUACGACCUGAGGGUGAAAGCGGGGGAUCGCAAGACCUCGCGCGAUUGGAGCGGCCGAUAUCAGAUUAGGUAGUUGGUGGGGUAACGGCCCACCAAGGCGACGAUCCGUAGCUGGUCUGAGAGGAUGAUCAGCCACACUGGAACUGAGACACGGUCCAGACUCCUACGGGAGGCAGCAGUAGGGAAUAUUGGACAAUGGGCGCAAGCCUGAUCCAGCCAUGCCGCGUGAGUGAAGAAGGCCCUCGGGUUGUAAAGCUCUUUUGUCCGGAAAGAAAAGCACUGGGUUAAUACCCCGGUGUCCUGACGGUACCGGAAGAAUAAGCACCGGCUAACUUCGUGCCAGCAGCCGAC